rnacentral:lncRNA from 1 species
CCCAAACAUCAUUUCCUUUGAAUUGGUUAAGCUCCUCUUGCAUUGCCAAGGUCCAAAAUUCAUCCCCAAUUGCUUCGGAGAUGGUUGAAGGUUCAUUUUGAGAAACGAAAGCAGUAUGUCCUAAGGUGUUUUUAAGAGUGUUUCGAGUACUUACCUGUUGUUCCAUGUCGCCAAUUACCUAUUCGAGAGGAUGGUCUUUGAUUGUCAUCCACGCGUUAGGCAGUUUCGUUUCUUUUUCCAGUUGUGGCGCUUCCUCCGAUAAUUGUUCCA